rnacentral:rRNA from 1 species
CAGCCGCCACGGGAAUACGAAGGGUGCAAGCGUUAAUCGGAAUUACUGGGCGUAAAGCGUGCGUAGGCGGUGAGUUAAGUCUGCUGUGAAAUCCCCGGGCCCAACCUGGGAAUGGCAGUGGAUACUGGCUCGCUAGAGUGUGUCAGAGGAUGGUGGAAUUCCCGGUGUAGCGGUGAAAUGCGUAGAGAUCGGGAGGAACAUCAGUGGCGAAGGCGGCCAUCUGGGACAACACUGACGCUGAGGCACGAAAGCGUGUGGAGCAAACAGGAUUAGAUACCCCCGUAGUCCCUGUCUCUUAUAC